UACGAAGGGGGCUAGCGUUGCUCGGAAUGACUGGGCGUAAAGGGCGCGUAGGCGGUUCGUACAGUCAGACGUGAAAUUCCCGGGCUCAACCUGGGGGCUGCGUUUGAUACGGGCGGGCUUGAGUUCGGAAGAGGGUCGUGGAAUUCCCAGUGUAGAGGUGAAAUUCGUAGAUAUUGGGAAGAACACCGGUGGCGAAGGCGGCGACCUGGUCCGAUACUGACGCUGAGGCGCGAAAGCGUGGGGAGCAAACAGG
rnacentral:rRNA from 1 species